rnacentral:lncRNA from 1 species
GGAAUUUUGGGGCAUAUUUGGGGGCUUGGGGGAAUAUUCUGGGGACAUUUGGGGGGUUUUGUGGGAGGGAUUUUCAUUUCUGUUGCGGUUUUUUUUUUUUGGCUGAGAUUUUUGCUUUCCUGGGGGGGCAGAUUUUGAGGGAAAACGGUCGCGUUUUGGGGGUGAAGAUUUGGUGUUCCUUCUUGGGGAGAUUUUGGGUAUUUGGGGGGCGAUGGUUUUGGGGAUAAUUCUUUUCGAGGCCGUUUUAUUGUUUCCCGUCCGUGCCGGGCGUGGGGGUGGCGCUCGGGGCGCAGAUUUGGGGCCAAAUUCCCCAAUUUCGGGUUCUAUUCCACAAUGGGGCCGCGUCGCCUUUAAGGGAAUCCCGCGUAUCUGCUCAGGACGCUUCCGCCCGGACCUACGUCACUUCCGCUCGGGGCGCUUCCGCCCGGAGGAACGCCACUUCCGCUCGCCCGCUGCGCGGAACCGGAAGUGCCCCCAUUCGACUUCCGGCGCGACGCGGAGAGCGCGCUAAUUAGGGGCGCCAUGGCCAAGCGCAAAGUGACCUUUGAGGACCCCGAGGAGGACGAGGAGGCGGCGCCGCAGUGGGGCAGCGAGGAGGCGGCCAGGGGGCAGUGCCCCAUAACUCCCUUCAACCUGGAGGAGGAGAUGGAGAGCGGCAGCUUCGACCGCGCCGGGAACUACCGGCCCCGCGGGCCCCCCCAGCGCCCGGACCCAUGGCUCGAGGCGCUGCCCUGGGUAUGGGGCGCUAUGGGGCGCUAUGGGGCGCUGGGGAGCGCUAUGGGGCGCCGGGGAGUGGCUGGAGGGGCACUAUGGGGUGGUGGGGGGUCCCUAUGGGGUGCUAUGGGGUG